rnacentral:rRNA from 1 species
CCUACGGGGGCUGCAGUGAGGAAUAUUGGUCAAUGGGCGCGAGCCUGAACCAGCCAAGUCGCGUGAGGGAAGACGGUCCUAUGGAUUGUAAACCUCUUUUGUCGGGGAGCAAAAGACGCCACGUGUGGCGUUCCGAGAGUACCCGAAGAAAAAGCAUCGGCUAACUCCGUGCCAGCAGCGGCGGUACUACGGGGGAUGCGAGGGUUAUCCGGAUUUAUUGGGUUUAAAGGGUGCGCAGGCGGAAGGUCAAGUCAGCGGUAAAAGUGAGAGGCUCAACCCCUUCGAGCCGUUGAAACUGGUUUUCUUGAGUGAGUGAGAGGUAUGCGGAAUGCGUGGUGUAGCGGUGAAAUGCAUAGAUAUCACGCAGAACUCCGGUUGCGAAGGCAGCAUACCGGCGCUCAACUGACGCUCAUGCACGAAAGUGUGGGUAUCGAACAGGAUUAGAUACCCGGGUAGUC